GCGCUCGCUUCACAGCACAUGUACCAAAACUAGAACGACACAGAAGAUUAGCAUGGCCUCUGUGCAAGGAUGACACCCACAUCUGUGAAGCAUGUUCCAUAUUUUU